UUUGACCUCGGAUCAGGUAGGAAUACCCGCUGAACUUAAGCAUAUCAAUAAGCGGAGGAAAAGAAACCAACAGGGAUUGCCCUAGUAACGGCGAGUGAAGCGGCAACAGCUCAAAUUUGAAAGCUGGCUUAGGCCCGCAUUGUAAUUUGCAGAGGAUGCUUCUGGCGAGGUGCCUUCCGAGUUCCCUGGAACGGGACGCCAUAGAGGGUGAGAGCCCCGUAUGGAUGGACACCAAACCUGUGUGAAGCUCCUUCAACGAGUCGAGUAGUUUGGGAAUGCUGCUCUAAAUGGGAGGUAAAUCUCUUCUAAAGCU
rnacentral:rRNA from 1 species